rnacentral:rRNA from 1 species
GACGAACGCUGGCGGCGCGCUUAACACAUGCAAGUCGAGCGAUGAAAUCUUGACAGAACCCUUCGGGGUGAAGAUAAGAUGGAUUAGCGGCGGACGGGUGAGUAACACGUGAGUAACCUGCCUUAGACAUUGGGAUAGCCUCGGGAAACCGGGAUUAAUACCAAAUGAAAUCACAUAUGCACAUGCAUAAAUGAUCAAAGCUCCGGCGGUCUAAGAUGGACUCGCGUCCCAUUAGCUAGUUGGUGAGGUAACGGCCCACCAAGGCGACGAUGGGUAGCCGGCCUGAGAGGGUGAACGGCCACAUUGGAACUGAGAAACGGUCCAAACUCCUACGGGAGGCAGCAGUAGGGAAUCUUCCGCAAUGGGCGAAAGCCUGACGGAGCAACGCCGCGUGAGUGAAGAAGGAUUUCGGUUCGUAAAGCUCUGUUGUUAGGGAAGAAUGGAUAUGUAGUAACUAUACAUGUAAGAGACGGUACCUAACCAGAAAGCCACGGCUAACUACGUGCCAGCAGCCGCGGUAAUACGUAGGUGGCAAGCGUUGUCCGGAAUUAUUGGGCGUAAAGCGCGCGCAGGUGGUUUAAUAAGUCUGAUGUGAAAGCCCACGGCUCAACCGUGGAGGGUCAUUGGAAACUGUUAAACUUGAGUGCAGGAGAGAAAAGUGGAAUUCCUAGUGUAGCGGUGAAAUGCGUAGAGAUUAGGAGGAACACCAGUGGCGAAGGCGGCUUUUUGGCCUGUAACUGACACUGAGGCGCGAAAGCGUGGGGAGCAAACAGG